rnacentral:rRNA from 1 species
UAGGGCAUACACCAAUGUACCAAACCCUAUCAAACUCCGAAUACCUUAUAUGUAAUCACAGCAGUCAGGCGGCGAGUGAUAAAAUCCGUCGUCAAGAGGGAAACAACCCAGACUACCAGCUAAGGUCCCUAAAUCUUACUUAAGUGGAAAACGAUGUGAAGUUACUUAAACAACCAGGAGGUUGGCUUAGAAGCAGCCAUCCUUUAAAGAAAGCGUAAUAGCUCACUGGUCUAGUGAUUUUGCGCGGAAAAUAUAACGGGGCUAAAGUAAGUACCGAAGCUGUAGACUUAGUUUACUAAGUGGUAGGAGAGCGUUCUAUUUGCGUCGAAGGUAUACCGGUAAGGAGUGCUGGAGCGAAUAGAAGUGAGCAUGCAGGCAUGAGUAGCGAUAAUUAAUGUGAGAAUCAUUAACGCCGUAAACCCAAGGUUUCCUACGCGAUGCUCGUCAUCGUAGGGUUAGUCGGGUCCUAAGUCGAGUCCGAAAGGGGUAGACGAUGGCAAAUUGGUUAAUAUUCCAAUACCAACAUUAGUGUGCGAUGGAAGGACGCUUAGGGCUAAGGGGGCUAGCGGAUGGAAGUGCUAGUCUAAGGUCGUAGGAGGUUGUACAGGCAAAUCCGUAUAACAAUACUCCGAGAACUGAAAGGCUUUUUGAAGUCUUCGGAUGGAUAGAAGAACCCCUGAUGCUGUCGAGCCAAGAAAAGUUUCUAAGUUUAGCUAAUGUUGCCCGUACCGUAAACCGACACAGGUGGGUGGGAUGAGUAUUCUAAGGCGCGUGGAAGAACUCUCUUUAAGGAACUCUGCAAAAUAGCACCGUAUCUUCGGUAUAAGGUGUGGUUAGCUUUGUAUUAGGAUUUACUCCGAAAGCAAGGAAACUUACAACAAAGAGUCCCUCCCGACUGUUUACCAAAAACACAGCACUCUGCUAACUCGUAAGAGGAUGUAUAGGGUGUGACGCCUGCCCGGUGCUCGAAGGUUAAUUGAUGGGGUUAGCAUUAGCGAAGCUCUUGAUCGAAGCCCGAGUAAACGGCGGCCGUAACUAUAACGGUCCUAAGGUAGCGAAAUUCCUUGUCGGUUAAAUACCGACCUGCAUGAAUGGCGUAACGAGAUGGGAGCUGUCUCAAAGAGGGAUCCAGUGAAAUUGUAGUGGAGGUGAAAAUUCCUCCUACCCGCGGCAAGACGGAAAGACCCCGUGGACCUUUACUACAGCUUGACACUGCUACUUGGAUAAGAAUGUGCAGGAUAGGUGGGAGGCUUUGAGUAUAUGACGCCAGUUGUAUAUGAGCCAUUGUUGAGAUACCACUCUUUCUUAUUUGGGUAGCUAACCAGCUUGAGUUAUCCUCAAGUGGGACAAUGUCUGGUGGGUAGUUUGACUGGGGCGGUCGCCUCCCAAAUAAUAACGGAGGCUUACAAAGGUUGGCUCAGAACGGUUGGAAAUCGUUCGUAGAGUAUAAAGGUAUAAGCCAGCUUAACUGCAAGACAUACAAGUCAAGCAGAGACGAAAGUCGGUCUUAGUGAUCCGGUGGUUCUGUGUGGAAGGGCCAUCGCUCAAAGGAUAAAAGGUACCCCGGGGAUAACAGGCUGAUCUCCCCCAAGAGCUCACAUCGACGGGGAGGUUUGGCACCUCGAUGUCGGCUCAUCGCAUCCUGGGGCUGGAGCAGGUCCCAAGGGUAUGGCUGUUCGCCAUUUAAAGCGGUACGCGAGCUGGGUUCAGAACGUCGUGAGACAGUUCGGUCCCUAUCUGCCGUGGGCGUAAGAAGAUUGAAGAGAUUUGACCCUAGUACGAGAGGACCGGGUUGAACAAACCACUGGUGUAGCUGUUGUUCUGCCAAGAGCAUCGCAGCGUAGCUAAGUUUGGAAAGGAUAAACGCUGAAAGCAUCUAAGCGUGAAGCCAACUCUAAGAUGAAUCUUCUCUAAGCUCUCUAGAAGACUACUAGUUUGAUAGGCUGGGUGUGUAAUGGAUGAAAGUCCUUUAGCUGACCAGUACUAAUAGAGCGUUUGGCUUAUCUUUAAUAAAGCAU